rnacentral:rRNA from 1 species
GAUUAACGCUGGCGGCGUGCCUGACACAUGCAAGUCGAACGGGUGCCAGUUGCCCGCAAGGGUGGCUGGCGCUAGUGGCGGACGGGUGAGUAACACGUGGGCAACCUGCCCAAGAGUGUGGGAUAACCCUGCGAAAGCAGAGCUAAUACCGCAUGUGGCUGCCGGAAGGCAUCUUCUGGCAACUAAAGUCGCAAGACGCUCUUGGAUGGGCCCGCGGCCUAUUAGCUAGUUGGUGAGGUAACGGCCCACCAAGGCUGUGAUGGGUAGCUG